ACCUGCAGUCGAGCGAGAACCGGACCUUCGGGUCCGGGGACAGCGGCGAACGGGUGAGUAACACGUGGGUAACCCACCCUUGGCACCGGGAUAGCCCGGGGAAACCCGGAUUAAUACCGGAUGGCCCGACAGCCUUUCGGGGCGGUCGGAAAAGGUAGCUUCGGCCUCCGGCCAUGGACGGGCCCGCGGCGGAUUAGCUUGUUGGCGGGGUAACGGCCCACCAAGGCGACGAUCCGUAGCUGGUCUGAGAGGACGAUUAGCCACACUGGGACUGAGACACGGCCCAGACUCCUACGGGAGGCAGCAGUGGGGAAUCUUGCGCAAUGGGCGAAAGCCUGACGCAGCGACGCCGCGUGAGGGAAGAAGGCCUUCGGGUUGUAAACCUCUUUCAGGAGGGACGAAGCCACUCGGGUGAAUAGCCCAGAGGGUGACGGUACCUCCAGAAGAAGCCCCGGCUAACUACGUGCCAGCAGCCGCGGUAAUACGUAGGGGGCGAGCGUUGUCCGGAUUUAUUGGGCGUAAAGAGCGUGUAGGCGGCUUCACAGGUCCGCUGUGAAAACUCGAGGCUCAACCUCGAUCUGUCGGUGGAAACCGUGAAGCUAGAGUCCGGAAGAGGAGAGUGGAAUUCCCGGUGUAGCGGUGAAAUGCGCAGAUAUCGGGAAGAACACCCGUGGCGAAGGCGGCUCUCUGGGACGGUACUGACGCUGAAACGCGAAAGCGUGGGGAGCGAACAGGAUUAGAUACCCUGGUAGUCCACGCUGUAAACGAUGGGUGCUAGGUGUGGGAGGUGUCGACUCCUUCCGUGCCGAAGCUAACGCAUUAAGCACCCCGCCUGGGGAGUACGGCCGCA
rnacentral:rRNA from 1 species